rnacentral:rRNA from 1 species
AACGGCCGUACCAUGCUGAAUAUACCGGUUCUCGUUAGAUCACCGAAGUUAAGCAGCAUUGGGCGCGGUCAGUACUUGGGUGGGUGGCCACCUGGGAACACUGCGUGCCGUU